rnacentral:rRNA from 1 species
UACGUAGGGGGCAAGCGUUGUCCGGAUUUAUUGGGCGUAAAGAGCUCGUAGGCGGUUUGGUAAGUCUGGUGUGAAAUCUCCACGCUCAACGUGGAGGGGCCACCCGAUACUGCCAUGACUGGAGUCCGGUAGAGGAGUGUGUAAUUCCCGGUGUAGCGGUGAAAUGCGUAGAGAUUUGGAGGAACACCAGUGGCGAAGGCGACUUUCUGGUCUGUAACUGACACUGAGGCGCGAAAGCGUGGGGAGCGAACAGG